GCUGUAGUAGCUCAGUGGUAGAGCAUCUGCUUUGCAUGCAGAAUGUCCCAGUUAGAGCAUCUGCUUUGCAUGCA